rnacentral:piRNA from 1 species
CUUUAUUGAAAUUUGUUAGUA